GGCCUAGCUCAAAUGCAAUAUUCUGGAAAUGCAAUUUUCACUGGCAGAGUUAACAGCCUUCCAAAAGAAGAUCUCGGCAUAUGCAUUUCAAGUGGUAGUUGAGCAAAGAGCUCUGUACCAGCCCCUGGAACAGUGAGCAGAUUAGCAAGGUUCUGAAUUAAUUGGAAACACCAGCUUCCUGGAAGACUUGAAUCAUACAAGGUUUUUUUCAGCAUUUACCAUAAAUCCAAAGAUGGUUCUUUGAGACAUACACUCUGCUUUGUGAUCAAAUGACACUCUGGGAAAACUUCAGUAUUCUCCUUAUGCUACAGCUUUAUGUAAAGUGACCUGAAGGUUGAGGCAAGGAAAUACUGCACUCUGACACCACCAGCCAGGGCUUUUGAUGACACGUUCUUCUAUGAAAUUUUCUGCCAAACUUCAACUACCCCCGACUGUCUUCCAGAAAUCCCCUUCAAGGCCUGUCGUUGCUGCACUGCCUACAAAUCACUGUCACCUGGCAGUCUUGACACUGGAGGCCAUCUGUGACCAUGGUGACUUCUGAUUUAUGUGAGCACACCCAUCUUCA
rnacentral:lncRNA from 1 species